GUCCAAAAAAUAUAGUAAUCUGGAUGCCUGCACUGUGACAGCUCUGUUCUUGCUCUUGUCAUUCAUGAUAUAGCCUGAUAUUUUUUCUUUUCUUCAGUGUGCUGUGACCAUAGGUGGUAAGCGAUGCCUGCAGGAACAGAGGCACUCUGCAACUCCAUCUGUUUUUGCAAAUGUGGCUUAUUUCUUCAUGAAACGGGGCGUGUGCUGAAAAUGAGUGAUAACUAGGAUGGGAAAAGAAGUGGACUCAAAAAAUGGAAACAUGAAUGUACAAAGUUUGCCAAGCAUUGGGUAAGUAGGGGAU
rnacentral:lncRNA from 1 species